CGCGCAUGCUCUAUGGGGUAGAGACGCUAGGCCGGCACUGCCUAGGUGGGCCGGGCGGUGCGAGGGUCGCCUUUCAGCCUUUACCUCUACCCACUGAAAUGGAGUAGGUCGGUGAGCGCCGAUCUGCUGGAGAAUCUCAUUAUCCCAUCGGCGCUCUGCCUGCUCCUGGCCUCCAAGCCUCUGAAGCCCCUCGGGUUUCAGCUGCCGGCUACCCUCGAGCCCGUGGUGCCCACGAGAGAGGCGACUUUACGUCAGCGGCCCUGGGCUGAGAUUUGAGAACGCGACCAAGUGGAGAAUGUUGGAGCCAGAUUUUAAAAUCCUUGUCUUCCUUCUGCGUGCUACUUGAUCUAAAUGAGAUACGGCAAAGUCACAGAACCUGUUUUUAUGUUUUUGCCUGAUUCAUACGGGCUUCUCCGGUGAAGAUGGGCCUGAAGUAACGCUUGGGUUGCUUCUGACGUUAUAACUCAUCCUGUAGCUGCAGCAACCGUGGUCCUUGCAACCUCAUAAAAAUGUUGCCAGCAUUGUUUCGAUAGUGCUGCUUAAUUCUUGGAAGGUUCUUCGGACUUCACACAUUCCAGCAGUAGCUCUCUCAGCUCCUGUCCUGCACAGCUUUGAAGUGCUGAACCACAAAGCAGCAGCAGCUUCAGCCAUCCCCUGGGCCAGACAGGCAUUUCCUCCUGUGUCUUUUCAUAGAUGAAGAAAAUCUUCCCCUCAUUCCUGGUGGUCAGAGCUGGAUAAAAUAUCCACCCUUCAACCAAUAUCAGACAAAUGACACAGAUCAGAAUAAACAGAACAUGCUGACGAAUUGGAUGUGAAGCAUGAGAAGAAAUGGAGAGGACCAAGAUGACCUGGAUUUCUGGCUUAUGCAACUGCAUAGAAU
rnacentral:lncRNA from 10 species